CAGCAACAGGAGAAACAGCUCUCACAGUGCAUGAUUGUCAUUUUUGUCUGCUAAUCUUGUGGUGUAUUGCUAAAUACUUGCAUGACAUGAUGUGUAGAAAUUGAUCACUAUACCUGAUAAGAGGCCCAAGCUGAAGCAGGUGCAUGAGGAGUAUCAGGGGGCGGUCUCUCCCCAGGUCCCUAUGAAUGAAAGUCAGUGCAAGCUGGACCAUGACAGAGGGGAUAAGCAUAAAGGUAAUAGUGAGUGACAUCCACACUGCAUCCUCUGAAUGACUAUACCCUGCAGCCACUACUGCUGCUGCAACCAUCUCUGUACAGAACAGCAGAGUCGAUGUUAAGAUGCUGAAAGGAGGAUGAGUCUGGGACCUGACCUCCUUAUAGCUUCCAUUUUCCCCAGUCUUGGAAGGUGUGGAGUUCUCACACACGUUGUCCAUUCUUCAGAUGUAAUCCACAAGCGGUUUGGAGGAAAAAAACACUAAAAAUCCAGGAUGAAAAAAAAUAAUCAAGGGGUCUUCAUCAGAUGUAAUUCACAAGGGGUCCAGCAGCAGUGACUCCUUGGCGGCGGCUCCUCGGCAGCUCCUCUUCUUCUUCCAUCCGCUCUUCAUGCAGUGCUGCUGCACACUCAUUUUUUGCUGUCAGUUUCCUGGCAGUUCUAUUGAGUGAUUUUUUUUUUUUUUUUUUUAUAUAAACCUUUUUAUUGAGGUAAUAUAAGUUAUAGAUACAUCCACAUCAAAUGGACAAGUACAGAAUUGGGUCCAGCAAAGUAAAACAUAUUAAUUAAAUGUCCAUUAUAUUAAUAACAAUAACCUCAUGUUGUUUUUAACAGAAAAGAGAGAGGAAAGAGUCUCACCCACAAAUCCAACCAAAGUGACCUCUAAGCUGUCAUAAAGUUGUGUCUUAUAUCAGCAAAUCAUUUAGCGUAUUUGUUGUAUAAGUAAUCUUCCAAAAUAAAGAGCAACUCAUGAAAGAA